rnacentral:lncRNA from 1 species
AGACACUAUUGGAAGGAGUGCUUUAGGUCAGGGCCUCGGGGCUCUUGUGAGGAUUUAAGCUAACUCCCCACCUGUUAUGGUUGGAUCGGGAAUGUCCCCUGGGGCUCCGGGUGCAGCAGUGUCCACGAGUUGGGCUUUGGGAAGUGAUUGGAUCUUGGAUCUCGAGGGCUCUGAUUUCUUUGAUGGAUUAAUCCAGCGACAGAGUCAUGAUGGAAUGGACUCAUGGGAGUUGGAGGAAACUGUAGGAGGAGGAGCCUUAUUGGGGGGUAGGUCACUGGGGCAAGCCAAUGUCCCACCACUAGCCUGCUGCCUGACAUAUCUUGGCUCUGUUCCACCGUGACCUGCCAUGAUGCUCUGCCUCACCACAGCCCAGAGCAACGGAGCCAGCCGACCAUGGACUGAAACCAGGAGCCAAAACGAAUCUUUGCUCCUUUAAAUUGACUUUGUCGGGUAUUUUGUUAGCAGCCAAAAGCGGACUAAUAACACCACUUCACUCCACAGUCCCCCCACUGGGCUCCUAGCCUUUCCUGGGUGCUUCCCAAGUGCUGGGUACCAUGUUGGACUUCAUAGUCACCAUCUCAUUCCUCCCCAAACCCCAAAGCAUUUUCCAUUACUAUUCUCAAUUUAUAAAGAAGAAACGGAGGCCCAGAGCACUUGAGGAAUCUGCCCAACCGUCCCCAAGCCCAGAGCCCUUAUGUCCCGCCACCAGCCUGCUGACGGACUUGCAUCGCCCUCUGGCCGCAGCUCAUCCCCUUGGAGGCAGCCUGCUUUCUGCAGAAUCCUGCAGCGGGGAGGGGAGUUAGGACAGCCUACAUCCUUCUUCUCACAUGAAUUUGACACCCACUUCCCAGUCACUUCACACACACACACACACACACACACACAUACACACACACACACACACACUGGGACCACCAGAACACACAUACCUCCUCCCAGGGGUUUGCCUCUCAAAUAUUUGAGAAAUGCCAUCUCCUGAUGGGCCCAGACCUGCAGCUCAACACCCCGGGGCUCUCCAGGAC